rnacentral:rRNA from 1 species
UACGUAGGGUGCAGGCGUUAAUCGGAAUUACUGGGCGUAAAGCGUGCGCAGGCGGUUUGCUAAGACAGGUGUGAAAUCCCCGGGCUUAACCUGGGAACUGCGCUUGUUACUGGCAGGCUUGAGUGUGGCAGAGGGGGGUGGAAUUCCACGUGUAGCAGUGAAAUGCGUAGAUAUCGGGAGGAACACCAGUGGCGAAGGCGACUUCCUGGCCUGUUCUUGACGCUGAGGCGCGAAAGCUAGGGGAGCAAACGGG